rnacentral:rRNA from 1 species
UACGUAGGGGGCAAGCGUUGUCCGGAAUUAUUGGGCGUAAAGAGCGCGUAGGCGGUCCGAUAAGUCGGCUGUGAAAGUCAGGGGCUCAACCCUUGAAAGCCGGCCGAUACUGUCGGACUAGAGUCCGGAAGAGGCGAGUGGAAUUCCUGGUGUAGCGGUGAAAUGCGCAGAUAUCAGGAGGAACACCAAUGGCGAAGGCAGCUUGCUGGCAUGUAUCUGACGCUAAGGCACGAAAGCGUGGGGAGCGAACAGG